GACGAACCGUGCGAACGUUGUUCGGAAUCACUGGGCUUAAAGGGCGCGUAGGCGGUCUGCCAAGUCCGGGGUGAAAGCCUCCAGCUUAACUGGAGAAGUGCCUUGGAUACUGGUGGACUCGAGGGAGGCAGGGGUAGUGGGAACUUCCGGUGGAGCGGUGAAAUGCGUUGAUAUCGGAAGGAACGCCGGUGGCGAAAGCGCACUACUGGUCCUCUUCUGACGCUGAGGCGCGAAAGCCAGGGGAGCAAACGGG
rnacentral:rRNA from 1 species